rnacentral:rRNA from 1 species
GACGAACGCUGGCGGCGUGCUUAACACAUGCAAGUCGAACGAUGAAGAAGAGCUUGCUCUUCGGAUUAGUGGCGAACGGGUGAGUAACACGUGACUAACCUGCCCCUUUCUCUGGGAUAACGCUCCGAAAGGAGUGCUAAUACCGGAUACUCACAUCGAGGCACAUGCCUUGAUGUGGAAAGUUUUUCGGAAAGGGAUGGAGUCGCGGCCUAUCAGCUUGUUGGUGAGGUAACGGCACACCACGGCGACGACGGGUAGCCGGCCUGAGAGGGCGACCGGCCACACUGGGACUGAGACACGGCCCAGACUCCUACGGGAGGCAGCAGUGGGGAAUAUUGCACAAUGGGCGAAAGCCUGAUGCAGCGACGCCGCGUGAGGGAUGAAGGUCUUCGGAUUGUAAACCUCUUUCAGUAGGGACGAAGCGAAAGUGACGGUACCUAAAGAAGAAGCACCGGCUAACUACGUGCCAGCAGCCGCCGUAA